UUGCCCCAGAAAGGAUAUGUUUCUGGACAUAGGUCUAGAAAUCUAACAGCAACUAUCCUCCUGAGUGGAUCAUCUACUCCGCCUUUCAUCCACAGAAACUAGAGGCCGGCAACAUUAGGAAAACAGCCCUGCUACACCUCCUCGAGACCCUGGCAGUGAAGCUGAUGCAAAAGAACCUUUUGAAAGACCAUUAUAGACCUUUUGGCCCUGUGUGGCAGUGAGAUGCAGAACUGUGGUCAUUUGGAAAUGGUGGAUUUUCAGCCAGACAAAGGAGCUGAGAUUCUGAAGUCCACUGGACAGACUUCCUUACAAGAUCCAACACCCCCACAACCUGCCCCCAAUGCACGGAGCCCCUUGUUAGUUACACCACAACCUGCUCCAAGGCACGUGGCCCCUCCUUUAAAAGGCCACGAUCUCUGUUAGUCGAAGAGACAGAUUUGAGGCAGCUUCUCCCGUUCUCUCUACAAGACGUCUGUCUUAUUAAAAAUUCCUUUCUUUUUUGGCA